AAGGGUAGAGCUUAGUGGUAGAGCACAAGCUUAGCAUUCAUGGGGUCCUGGGUUCAAUCCCCAGUACCUCCA
rnacentral:tRNA from 1 species